UACGUAGGUGGCGAGCGUUGUCCGGAUUUACUGGGCGUAAAGAGCGCGCAGGCGGUCGUUCAAGUCGCGUGUGAAAGCCCCCGGCUCAACUGGGGAGGGUCACGCGAUACUGAUCGACUCGAAGGCAGGAGAGGGUAGUGGAAUUCCCGGUGUAGUGGUGAAAUGCGUAGAUAACGGGAGGAACACCAGUGGCGAAGGCGACUACCUGGCCUGUUUCUUGACGCUGAGGCGCGAAAGCUAGGGGAGCAAACGGG
rnacentral:rRNA from 1 species